GCCCUUACGGGAGGCAGCAGCAAGGAAUUUUCGGCAAUGGGCGCAAGCCUGACCGAGCAACGCCGCGUGCGGGAUGACGGCCUUCGGGUUGUAAACCGCUUUUCGGGGGGACGAUGAUGACGGUACCCCCGGAACAAGCCCCGGCUAACUCUGUGCCAGCAGCCGCGGUAAGACAGAGGGGGCGAGCGUUGUCCGGAGUCACUGGGCGUAAAGCGCGCGCAGGCGGCAACCUCAGUGUCGUGUGAAAGCCCCCGGCUCAACCGGGGGAGGCCAUGGCAAACUGGGUCGCUCGAGCUGCGGAGAGGCCCCUCGAAUUGCCGGUGUAGCGGUGAAAUGCGUAGAGAUCGGCAGGAAGACCAAGGGGGAAGCCAGGGGGCUGGCCGCAGGCUGACGCUGAGGCGCGACAGCGUGGGGAGCAAACCGGAUUAGAUACCCGGGUAGUCCACGCCGUAAACGAUGACCACUCGGCGUGUGGCGACUAUUGACGUCGCGGCGCGCCCUAGCUCACGCGAUAAGUGGUCCGCCUGGGAACUACGAGCGCAAGCUUAAAACUCAAAGGAAUUGACGGGGGCCCGCACAAGCAGCGGAGCGUGUGGUUUAAUUCGACGCGACGCGAAGCACCUUACCCAGGCUUGACAUGCCGCUGCAAGCGUCGGAAACGGCGCUGCCUUCGAGGGUGCGGCACCGGUGCUGCAUGGCUGUCGUCAGCUCGUGUCGUGAGAUGUUGGGUUAAGUCCCGCAACGAGCGCAACCCGCGUCGGCAGUUACCCGUGUCUGCCGAGACAGCCGCCUUGAUGGGCGGAGGAAGGCGCGGAUGACGUCAAGUCAGCAUGGCCCUGACGCCUGGGGCGACACACACGCUACAAUGGCCAGGACAGUGCGUCGCGAGCCGGCAACGGUCAGCAAAUCGCCAAACCUGGNCCAGUGCAGAUCGGGGGCUGCAACUCGCCCCGUGA
rnacentral:rRNA from 1 species